AUUGAACGCUGGCGGCAGGCCUAACACAUGCAAGUCGAACGAGUGGCGGACGGGUGAGUAAUGUCUGGGAAACUGCCUAAUGGAGGGGGAUAACUACUGGAAACGGUAGCUAAUACCGCAUACCAUCGGAUCUGCCCAGAUGGGAUUAGCUAGUUGGUGGGGUAAAGGCUCACCAAUGCAACGAUCCCUAGCUGGUCUGAGAGGAUGACCAGCCACACGGGAACUGAGACACGGCCCAGACUCCUACGGGAGGCAGCAGUGGGGAAUAUUGGAAAAUGGGCGAAAGCCUGAUACAGCCAUGCCGCGUGUAUGAAGAAGGCCUUCGGGUUGUAAAGUACUUUCAGCGGAGAGGCGUUACCCGCAGAAGAAGCACCGGCUAACUACGUGCCAGCAGCCGCGGUAAUAC
rnacentral:rRNA from 1 species